rnacentral:rRNA from 1 species
ACACAUGCAGUUCGAACGAUGAAGCCCUUUCGGGGUGGAUUAGUGGCGAACGGGUGAGUAACACGUGGGCAAUCUGCCCUUCACUCUGGGACAAGCCCUGGAAACGGGGUCUAAUACCGGAUAAUACUUCGUUCCGCAAGGGACGGGGUUGAAAGCUCCGGCGGUGAAGGAUGAGCCCGCGGCCUAUCAACUUGUUGGUGGGGUGAUGGCCUACCAAGGCGACGACCGGUAGCCGGCCUGAGAGGGCGACCGGCCACACUGGGACUGAGACACGGCCCAGACUCCUACGGGAGGCAGCAGUGGGGAAUAUUGCACAAUGGGCGAAAGCCUGAUGCAGCGACGCCGCGUGAGGGAUGACGGCCUUCGGGUUGUAAACCUCUUUCAGCAGGGAAGAAGCGCAUGUGACGGUACCUGCAGAAGAAGCGCCGGCUAACUACGUGCCAGCAGCCGCGGUAAUACGUAGGGCGCAAGCGUUGUCCGGAAUUAUUGGGCGUAAAGAGCUCGUAGGCGGCUUGUCACGUCGGAUGUGAAAGCCCGGGGCUUAACCCCGGGUCUGCAUUCGAUACGGGCUAGCUAGAGUGUGGUAGGGGAGAUCGGAAUUCCUGGUGUAGCGGUGAAAUGCGCAGA